GGGGGACAACAGUUGGAAACGACUGCUAAUACCGCAUGAUGCGUUGGAGCCGCAUGACUCUGACGCCAAAGAUUUAUCGCUGGAAGAUGGCCUCGCGUCUGAUUAGCUAGUUGGUGAGGUAACGGCCCACCAAGGCGACGAUCAGUAGCCGGACUGAGAGGUUGGCCGGCCACAUUGGGACUGAGAUACGGCCCAGACUCCUACGGGAGGCAGCAGUGGGGAAUAUUGGGCAAUGGGCGCAAGCCUGACCCAGCAACGCCGCGUGAAGGAAGAAGGCUUUCGGGUUGUAAACUUCUUUUAAGGGGGAAGAGCAGAAGACGGUACCCCUUGAAUAAGCCACGGCUAACUACGUGCCAGCAGCCGCGGUAAUACGUAGGUGGCAAGCGUUGUCCGGAUUUACUGGGUGUAAAGGGCGUGCAGCCGGAGAGACAAGUCAGAUGUGAAAUCCACGGGCUCAACCCGUGAACUGCAUUUGAAACUGUUUCCCUUGAGUGUCGGAGAGGUAAUCGGAAUUCCUUGUGUAGCGGUGAAAUGCGUAGAUAUAAGGAAGAACACCAGUGGCGAAGGCGGAUUACUGGACGAUAACUGACGGUGAGGCGCGAAAGCGUGGGGAGCAAACAGGAUUAGGUACCCUGGUAGUCCACGCUGUAAAC
rnacentral:rRNA from 1 species